rnacentral:rRNA from 1 species
AACGAACGCUGGCGGCAUGCCUAACACAUGCAAGUCGAACGAGAUCUUCGGGUCUAGUGGCGCACGGGUGCGUAACGCGUGGGAAUCUGCCCUCAGGUUCGGAAUAACCAUUGGAAACGAUGGCUAAUACCGGAUGAUGACGUUAAGUCCAAAGAUUUAUCGCCUGAGGAUGAGCCCGCGUAGGAUUAGCUAGUUGGUGUGGUAAAGGCGCACCAAGGCGACGAUCCUUAGCUGGUCUGGGAGGAUGAUCAGCCACACUGGGACUGAGACACGGCCCAGACUCCUACGGGAGGCAGCAGUGGGGAAUAUUGGACAAUGGGCGAAAGCCUGAUCCAGCAAUGCCGCGUGAGUGAUGAAGGCCUUAGGGUUGUAAAGCUCUUUUACCCGGGAUGAUAAUGACAGUACCGGGAGAAUAAGCGCCGGCUAACUCUGUG